GGGUAGGGCUGGAUCUCCGGACUGGAAGCUGGGCGCUUCCUGUGGGUGUUCGCUGUUCAGAAUCUCUCCACCGGGUUUUAGAGUUCGGACCUCAUGGCAGAGAUAAUUCAGGAACGCAUAGAAGAACGGCUCUCAGAAUUGGAACAGCUGGAGCGCAUUGGACUGUUCAGUCAUGUGGAGAUUAAGGCUAUCAUUAAGAAGGCUUCCGAUCUAGAGUACAGAAUCCAGUGAAGAACCCCUUUCAAGGAAGACUUUAUCAAUUAUGUUCAAUAUGAAAUUAGUCUUCUGGAUCUGAUCCAGAGAAGAACACGCAUUGGAUAUUCAUUUAAGAAGGAUGAGAUUGAGAAUUCUAUUGUACACCAGGUACAAGGUGUUUUCCGAUGUGCCUCAGCAAAAUGGAAAGAUGAUGUUCAACUUUGGCUCUCCUAUGUGGUUUUUUGUAAGAAGUGGGCUGCUAAAACUCAACUUAGCAAGGUAUUCUCUGCCAUGUUGGCCAUUCAUUCCGACAAACCAGCUUUGUGGAUUAUGGCAGCCAAAUGGGAAAUGGAAGAUGGAUUGUCUUCAGAAAGUGCAAGGCAACUAUUUCUUCGGGCACUGCGCUUUCAUCCAGAGUGCCCAAAACUUUAUCAAGAAUACUUUAGGAUGGAGCUGAUGCAUGCUGAAAAACUGAGGAAGGAAAAGGAAGAAUUUGAAAAAGCCAUCAUGGACAUGGAGAAUCCUGAUUAUUCUGAAGAAAUCCUUAAGGGCAAGUUGGCACGGAUCAUCUACAAAAAUUCUGUAAGCAUAAUUAAAGGUGCAGAAUUUCACAUGUCACUGCUUUCAAUUGCACAGCUAUUUGACUUUGCCAAAGAUCUACAAAAAGAAAUUUAUGAUGACCUUCAGGCCCUACACACUGAUGAUCCUCUCACUUGGGAUUAUGUGGCAAGGCGAGAAUUAGAGAUUGAGUCACAGACGGAAGAGCAGCCUACGACGAAACAAGCCAAAGCAGUAGAGGUUGGCUGGAAGGAGGAGAGGUGCUGUGCUGUAUAUGAAGAGGCAGUGAAGACUCUGCCCACAGAGGCCAUGUGGAAGUGUUACAUCACCUUUUGCUUAGAACUAUUUACCAAGAAGACAAAUAGUGGAUUCCUCAGAGGGAAGAGGCUGGAAAGAACCAUGACUGCAUUCAGGAAGGCACAUGAACUUAAGCUUCUGCCAGAAUUCCAAUACAAGCAGUUGAUUAAGUCCUUGCUGAGUCAUAACUUCCUGAGAGAAGCUCUAGAGGUGGCAGUAGCUGGAACUGAAUUGUUUAGAGACUCUGGGACAAUGUGGCAGAUGAAGCUGCAGGUGCUAAUUGACUCAAAGAGCGCUGACAUAGCCAUGCAAUUUGAAGAAUACUUUGUGCACCUCAAACCCCAGGUUUGUCUGUCAUUGUGGAUUUCUUGGGCAGAGUGGAGUGAAGGUGCCAAAAGCCAAGAGGAUACUGAGGCAGUCUCUAAGAAAACUCUGUUAGCUGUCAUUGGUGCCGACUCAGUAACCCUGAAGGAUAAGUACCUGGAUUGGGCUUAUCGAAAUGGUAGCUACAAAAAGGCCAGAGCUGUGUUUAAAAGUUUACAGGAGAGUCAUCCAUUUUCAGUUGACUUUUUCAGGAAAAUGAUUCAGUUUGAAAAGGAGCAAGAAUCCUGCAAUAUGGGAAACAUAAGAGAAUAUUAUGAGAGAGCUUUGAGAGAGUUUGGAUCUGCAGAUUCUGAUCUUUGGAUGGAUUAUAUCAAAGAAGAAUUGAACCACCCCCUUGGUAGACCUGAGAACUGUGGACCGAUCUGGUGGCGAGCGAUGAAAAUGUUGCAGGGAGAGUCAGCAGAGGCAUUUGUAGCUAAACAUGCUAUGUAUCAGACUGGCCAUUUGUGAAGAGGAAGAAUACAGCCAGCUUUGUGAAAUAGUACUGCAAGCAAGUCCUGUAGGCAAAUUUGUAUUAUGAGUCCAUCUGAAUUUGCUCAGUGAUGGCAGACAAGAUGGCUGUCUGGUUUCGAGAUACACUUUAAUUUUAUGUUAGCUUGUUAGUCUUUUUUAAAAA